CUCCAUCUUAUGGCAGCAUAUAUUUUCAACACAGAGUGAGGGCAGUGUCAUUCCUCCUGUCCACUACCCCAACUUCUACUCCCAACACUACCACAACAAUGAGCGGUCUGGUGUGGUGGCUGAGGAUUCUUUUGAAGAGGACAAUGCUUCUGCUUCAUCUGAGCAGCUUGAAGCUGCCUGCAGAAAUAGGCAAAACAGCAACUGACGAAAGAAUAAAGUUGAAGGAAACUGGAGUUUCCCUGCAAAACAAGCUAUCAAGAAGACCUAUACAAUGUGUGUUCAAAGUGUCUGGCUAAGAGUUGGAGAUCUGGCAGAGAAGCUGUGGCCAGAGGAAGGAGGCUUGGCUGCUGCACCAGACCCAUAGACCACAUCUUUGGAGUGGCUUUGGCCUUGAGGUGCAGCCAGGUAGCUGUAGCUCACCACCUGCCAGAGAAAAGCUUUUUUAACCUCACUGCCUGCCAGGGAAGAGCUUUUUUAAUUUCCAUUUUAAUCUUACAUGAUUAAGGUCAUAUGAUUAAUAGUUAUACCAUCUUCUGUAUAUCUAGCCUGGAGGUUGAGAUGUGAUGGAAUGAUUCCAAAUGUGAAUGUAUACCAUAUUAAAUCCUUGUCUCUACUUUCCUCCAAAUGAGAUCCAUGGGCCUUGUAAAAAAAAGUUGGGAGUCCAAUCUUUUAAAACUAGUAACUCUAAUAUUAGAGAUUUGAGAGACAGAAUGAAGCAUAAUUAAAGCUUUGAUAAGCAUUUAUAAAUCUG